rnacentral:lncRNA from 1 species
UGCUGCUACUCAGCUGUGACUAAUCUGCAAGCAGAGACAGAAGAAAGCCACCGCUGCACCGCAUAACAACCUCUGGUAAUUGGGUUUCCUACCUGGGGUAAGUCUGCUCUCACUGGUACGU